rnacentral:rRNA from 1 species
AUUGAACGCUGGCGGCAGGCUUAACACAUGCAAGUCGAGCGGGGUGAUGGUGCUUGCACUAUCACUUAGCGGCGGACGGGUGAGUAAUGCUUAGGAAUCUGCCUAUUAGUGGGGGACAACAUCUCGAAAGGGAUGCUAAUACCGCAUACGUCCUACGGGAGAAAGCAGGGGAUCACUUGUGACCUUGCGCUAAUAGAUGAGCCUAAGUCGGAUUAGCUAGUUGGUGGGGUAAAGGUCUACCAAGGCGACGAUCUGUAGCGGGUCUGAGAGGAUGAUCCGCCACACUGGGACUGAGACACGGCCCAGACUCCUACGGGAGGCAGCAGUGGGAAAUAUUGGACAAUGGGGGGAACCCUGAUCCAGCCAUGCCGCGUGUGUGAAGAAGGCCUUAUGGUUGUAAAGCACUUUAAGCGAGGAGGAGGCUCUUUUGGUUAAUACCCAAGAUGAGUGGACGUUACUCGCAGAAUAAGCACCGGCUAACUCUGUGCCAGCCGCCGCGGUAA